rnacentral:misc_RNA from 1 species
AACGCACAUUGCGCCCCUUGGUAUUCCAUGGGGCAUGCCUGUUCGAGCGUCAUUUGUACCCUCAAGCUUUGCUUGGUGUUGGGCGUCUUGUCUCUAGCUUUGCUGGAGACUCGCCUUAAAGUAAUUGGCAGCCGGCCUACUGGUUUCGGAGCGCAGCACAAGUCGCACUCUCUAUCAGCAAAGGUCUAGCAUCCAUUAAGCCUUUUUUUCAACUUUUGACCUCGGAUCAGGUAGGGAUACCCGCUGAACUUAA